rnacentral:rRNA from 1 species
UGAACGCUGGCGGCGUGCCUAAUACAUGCAAGUCGAGCGAACAGACGAGGAGCUUGCUCCUCUGACGUUAGCGGCGGACGGGUGAGUAACACGUGGAUAACCUACCUAUAAGACUGGGAUAACUUCGGGAAACCGGAGCUAAUACCGGAUAAUAUAUUGAACCGCAUGGUUCAAUAGUGAAAGACGGUUUUGCUGUCACUUAUAUAUGGAUCCGCGCCGCAUUAGCUAGUUGGUAAGGUAACGGCUUACCAAGGCAACGAUGCGUAGCCGACCUGAGAGGGUGAUCGGCCACACUGGAACUGAGACACGGUCCAGACUCCUACGGGAGGCAGCAGUAGGGAAUCUUCCGCAAUGGGCGAAAGCCUGACGGAGCAACGCCGCGUGAGUGAUGAAGGUCUUCGGAUCGUAAAACUCUGUUAUUAGGGAAGAACAAAUGUGUAAGUAACUAUGCACGUCUUGACGGUACCUAAUCAGAAAGCCACGGCUAACUACGUG